rnacentral:rRNA from 1 species
UAAAACAAAGAUAACACGUUGAAUGUACCAAUUCCCCCCACGGAUCACUGAUGUUAAGCAACGUUGCGCGUAGUAAGUACCUGGAAGGGUGACCAUCUGGACAGUAGCGUGCUGCGGGGU